rnacentral:ncRNA from 1 species
UGUCCAGGCUUAGUUGUAGGCCUCCUAUUAGGCAACUAAUGGGCUAACAUUGGGUGAAUUGCAUGAAAGCUAAGGCGUAACGCUAUGCUAACCUGCAGCGAAUUACAUCGACUGAUAUUAAUAUAAAAAUAGAUGUACACGUUCAACGACUAGCGAGUGAUGUAAAUCAGUCAAAUAAUCUCGCCACGAGCGCCCGACAUCUUGAUAUUUACUUAGACCCCCGCUUAAGUAAAUAUGGCCAAGAUGAUGACAUAGUCUGAGCAACGUGGAAACACGUUG